rnacentral:rRNA from 1 species
AGAGUUUGAUCAUGGCUCAAAACGAACGCUGGCGGCAUGCCUAACACAUGCAAGUCGAACGCGGUCCUUCGGGACCGAGUGGCGCACGGGUGAGUAGCGCGUGGGAACCUGCCCUGGAGUGGGGGAUAACCGAGGGAAACUUCGGCUAAUACCGCAUACGCCGGCCAUCUAGAGAUAGACUGGCCGGGCAAGAUUUAUCGCUCAAGGAGGGGCCCGCGUCGGAUUAGCUGGUUGGUGGGGUAACGGCCUACCAAGGCGAUGAUCCGUAGCUGGUCUGAGAGGAUGAUCAGCCACACUGGGACUGAGACACGGCCCAGACUCCUACGGGAGGCAGCAGUGGGGAAUAUUGGACAAUGGGCGCAAGCCUGAUCCAGCAAUGCCGCGUGAGUGAGGAAGGCCGUAGGGUUGUAAAGCUCUUUCACCCGCGACGAUGAUGACGGUAGCGGGAGAAGAAGCCCCGGCUAACUUCGUGCCAGCCGCCGCGGUAAUUC